rnacentral:lncRNA from 1 species
GUAAGUGUGCAUGGCCCUCCCCAGAAAUUGUACAGUGACAAUGGAGGAGAAUUCAAUAAUAAUGAAAUAAGAGAAAUGGCAGAGAAAUUCAACAUGGAAGUAAAGACAACUGCUGCAUACAGUCCAUGGAGCAAUGGACUUCUGGAGAGACAUAAUCAAACACUCACAGAGAUCAUGCUGAAAGUGAAGCAAGACAAUGGAUGUGACUGGAACACAGCCCUAGAUUGGGCUUUGAUGGCAAAAAACUCAAUGCACAAUGUUCAUGGUUACAGCCCAUACCAACUAGUGUUCGGGCAGAACCCUAAUCUUCCCUCUGUACUGGUUGACAAGCCACCAGCACUAGAAGGGGCCAGUGUGAGGUGCAUGGGUGGGACAGCACCUGUCAGCACUACAUGCAGCGAGAAAAGCGUUCACUGAGUGCUCAGAAAGAAUUUGCAGGGCUCUGCGUAAACAGCUACGACCCACCGAUGAGAAGUACGAAACUGGAGACAAAGUGUACUACAAACAAGUUGACUGUCAAGAGUGGAAGGGACCGGGUGUAGUCAUUGGCCAAGAUGGUGUGGUGAUAUUUGUGAGGCACGGAGGCAUCAUUGUCAGGGCGCAUCACUCAAGAUUGCGGAAAGUAAAUGAUCAACAAGAUAGAGGGGCUGUUGCUGAGAAUCAUCCUAAUGAAAAGGAGACAGUAACAGACACAAACCUACCAGAUGUCAUAUCCAAUGAUAUGGACACUGAAACUGACACAGGAAAUGGAGCAGAGACCUUCAAACAUGCCACAGAUAAUACUGUUGAGCGUUCAAAUGAGGAAAACAUUCAACAACAGCCACAUGUGUUAAGACAACAUGGAUGUUCCAAUCUGAAAACUGGACGAACUGUUAAAUACAUGGACAGAGAAAGUUGUAUUCCACAUACAGCAACCAUCAUUGGACGAGCAGGAAAAGCCAAAGGAAAACACCAGAACUGGUACAACUUGCAGUACUCUGAACCAGUUACACUUUCUGGUACAACAGGGUCAGCUGACCUGUCACUUGUAGAUAAUCUCAGAAUUGAACCAAUGGAAAAUCGAGAAAAACAGAAUGACAUUCAAAAUGAUGAUGUACUUGAAACAAAGGACGUGUCAUUUGACUCAGCUAAGCUAGAUGAGCUCAGUAAUUGGAGGAAAAAUUGAGUGUUUGAGGAAGUUACAGACAUUGGCCAAAAAUGUGUCUCAACAAGGUGGGUGUGUACCCUUAAAGAGUCCUUAACUGGAAUAGUGCCUAAAGCACGUCUAGUGGCUAGAGGUUUUGAGGAGCUGGCUGCUAAACAACUCCCAAAAGACUCACCGACAUGCGCCUUAGAGUCACUCAGAUUGCUGAUGUCCGUGAUCUGCCAGAAAAAAUGGAAACUUAAUUCCAUAGACAUCAAAUCUGUCAAGGGACAUUCACAUCCGACCUCCGCCUGAAGCUAAAUGCGAAGGAACACUGUGGAAACUAAAGAAGUGUGUGUAUGGACUGGCAGAUGCAUCACUCUACUGGUACAACAAAGUCAAGGCAACAAUGCUGAAUACAGGUGGAAAACUGUCACAAGUGGAUCCUGCAGUCUUCUAUUGGCUUGAUCAAGACUGCAGUGUGACUGGAGUACUUGCCUGUCAUGUUGAUGACUUCAUCUGGGGUGGCUCACAGACCUUUGCUACAACUGUGAUUCCACACCUCAAAUCUGUUUUCCAGGUCGGCCGUGAGGAGCAUGAUAAUUUUUGUUAUGUUGGCAUAGAGUUUAUUACAGUUGAUGGGACAAUACUGAUGCAACAGGAGAGCUAUAUCAAGAAUCUUCAACCCAUUCACAUGGAUUCUUCAAGAGCCGUACAAAGGAAUUCCCCUCUAUGUGGAAUUGAAGCUGAUCAAUUGAGGUCAAAGAUAGGACAAAUUUUAUGGGUUGCUAGACAGAGUAGACCUGAUGUAAUGUUUGAUGGUUGCAACUUGGCAUCUAACACAAAACACGCCACUGUACAAACCAUUCAUGAGGCAAACAAAGUUGUUCGUAAACUGAAAUCACAACAAGUGACUAAAGUUUCAGCAUGUUGGAAAAGAUGACUCUUUGAAACUAGUUGUCUUCAGUGAUGCUUCGCUAGGGAACCUUACAGAUGGAGGCACACAAGGUGGACAUCUAAUCGUGUUAAUGGGUGAAGGAGGAAGAUUCUCACCUAUCUGUUGGCAGUCAAAAAGGAUCAGAAGGGUUGUCCGAAGCACACUUGCUGGAGAAACACUUGCUCUUGCGGAUGGAAUUGACAAUGCGAUCUUUCUUGCAGCUCUGUUCUCAGAGCUUACCACUGGAAUCUGUGAAGAAGCAGCUUUUGAAAAGGAUUCAGAAUGUGACAACCCCCAAAAAGAAGCAGGGAGCGACCCCUUCAAGAAAGAGGCCACGAAGCCUUAGAUUUCAGAGCAGCCAGGAGAUGUCCACUGAUGAGACUGAUGAAUCCACCUCCUCAACCCUGAUCUUGUGGAGAUCCCCACAAUCUAGAUGCAGCACCCCAGAGGUUGAACAGUUGGGUGAAACUACUGAGAGCCUACAGAACCAGGCGAGACAUAAUAAAACUACAGGAGAUGUACAAAACCAAGGCCAGACCCAACCAGAAGGAUGUUUCUCAGCUCCUGGACCUUGAAUUCCAAGCAAGACGGGCCUUCAUCGACUCUGAUGCUACUAAGGAGCAGGACAGGCCUAUCAAGAUACUUCAAGCGUAUCCCUGCUUCAGAGAACUGGAUCAUUGAAGCACUCAAUCGCCAUGAUGAAGGCUUUACCAGAUAUGUUCCCACCACCUGUGGCUACACCAAAGAAGUUAGGACAUGCAAAUGAGGCUAUGCUUCACAUCCUUGUCUGCAGAAGACCCCAACACCUUUCUUCAGGUGAGACCACUCUUCAGCCCUGUCAUGAUUGUCUGUGAAACCAACUGCGUACUGGAACCAUGCCUGUGGUGACCAUGCCUGUGGUGACCUUCACAAAAGAGGACAUCUGUGCCAGCGUGACGAAUCUCAUGGCGUGUUAUUACGCCUUUCACCUCACAUAUCCCAAGUGCAUUGCGACACUCUUCUCUGUGCUGCAGACAGAAGUCCUCUCGGACGCCAUCCAUGACCGGGACAUGACUUCUUCAUAUAAAAAGGCUAUGGCCGAGUGGAAAAGGUUCAUUACUGACUAGGGUUGCACAAUACAAUUUUUUUAUUUCUAGUCCCAAUAACAGAACUGUGUGUAUUGGCCCAUCCGAGAACCGAUUUGAUAGCCUUUAAUAGAUAGGCAGGGCGUUUGUUGCUUAUUAUAAUGAGGUUUGUUAUCUUCCCAUUGGUCUUACAUUUUCACCUUGACCACCAAUGGCCUUUGUUGUUGUUUUUGCAUCCUUUGUUCUGCCCAUAUCAGCCUCUGGAUAUACUGAGUCCUC